rnacentral:rRNA from 1 species
UGCAACCUGCCUUUAUCAGGGGGAUAGCCUUUCGAAAGGAAGAUUAAUACCCCAUAAUAUUUAGAAUGGCAUCAUUUUAAAUUGAAAACUCCGGUGGAUAGAGAUGGGCACGCGCAAGAUUAGAUAGUUGGUGAGGUAACGGCUCACCAAGUCUGCGAUCUUUAGGGGGCCUGAGAGGGUGAUCCCCCACACUGGUACUGAGACACGGACCAGACUCCUACGGGAGGCAGCAGUGAGGAAUAUUGGACAAUGGGUGCGAGCCUGAUCCAGCCAUCCCGCGUGAAGGACGACGGCCCUAUGGGUUGUAAACUUCUUUUGUAUAGGGAUAAACCUACCCUCGUGAGGGUAGCUGAAGGUACUAUACGAAUAAGCACCGGCUAACUCCGUGCCAGCAGCCGCGGUAAUACGGAGGGUGCAAGCGUUAUCCGGAUUUAUUGGGUUUAAAGGGUCCGUAGGCUGAUGUGUAAGUCAGUGGUGAAAUCUCACAGCUUAACUGUGAAACUGCCAUUGAUACUGCAUGUCUUGAGUGUUGUUGAAGUAGCUGGAAUAAGUAGUGUAGCGGUGAAAUGCAUAGAUAUUACUUAGAACACCCAUUGCGAAGGCAGGUUACUAAGCAACAA